AUACGGAGAGUGCAAGCGUUAUUCGGAAUUACUGGGCGUAAAGCGCGUGCAGGCGGGUAUGCAAGUCUGAUGUGAAAGCCCCGGGCUCAACCUGGGAAGUGCAUUGGAAACUGCAUAUCUUGAGUGCUGGAGAGGAAGGGGGAAUUCCCGGUGUAGAGGUGAAAUUCGUAGAGAUCGGGAGGAAUACCAGUGGCGAAGGCGCCCUUCUGGACGGCAACUGACGCUGAGACGCGAAAGCGUGGGGAGC
rnacentral:rRNA from 1 species